rnacentral:rRNA from 1 species
GAUGAACGCUAGCGGCAGGCUUAAUACAUGCAAGUCGAGGGGUAGCAAGAUUGUAGCAAUACAAUUGUUGACGACCGGCAAACGGGUGCGGAACACGUACACAACCUUCCUACAAGUGGGGAAUAGCCCAGAGAAAUUUGGAUUAAUACCCCGUAACAUAGCGAUGUGGCAUCACAUUGCUAUUAUAGCUUCGGCGCUUGUUGAUGGGUGUGCGGCUGGUUAGAUAGUUGGCGGGGUAACGGCCCACCAAGUCUACGAUCAGUAGCUGAUGUGCGAGCAUGAUCAGCCACACGGGCACUGAGACACGGGCCCGACUCCUACGGGAGGCAGCAGUAAGGAAUAUUGGACAAUGGACGCAAGUCUGAUCCAGCCAUGCCGCGUGAAGGAUUAAGGUCCUCUGGAUUGUAAACUUCUUUUAUAAGGGACGAAAAAAGGUCUUUCUAGAUCGUCUGACGGUACCUUAUGAAUAAGCACCGGCUAACUCCGUGCCAGCCGCCGCCGUAAUAC